rnacentral:tRNA from 1 species
UGCAGAAUGGCUCGACAGGGAGGCGGCACCCUCAUAAGGUGUGACAUGCCGGUUCGAAUCCGGCUUCUGCAA